rnacentral:lncRNA from 1 species
UUUUCACUUUUCAAUGAAUACCAUUUGAAUCUGAGAGCAUAGAAAGCAACUCAAAAUCCGCCCUGAGAAGUAUUAUUUUGCAGGGAUGCGUGAGCAGGAGUAAUCAGAAAGUAUGUUAAAAAUGAAAAUCCUAUAGGUUAUGGUCUUCUGCUUGAUAGGCGACUUCCUCCUUGAAAUGAAUAUAUUUUCUUUUUGAUUCAAGAAAGGUUUUUUCUAAGUUGCAAAUUCAAGAAUGUAUCUUUGUAAAUUGAUUUCCCAGUGUGAAGUUCCUUCGACUAAAAUUGAUGGUUGAAUUUUCAAUAGGGUGAUUUUCGGUGAACUUCCAUCGUUUUCCCGGAUGGAUCUGGAAAAGCGAUUGAAUACGUUUAUUUUUCCGGAAGCUAUGGACGCUGGCUGUUUCGGAGAUGACGUGGAAAAGUUCGUCCGUUUCGAAAUUAAACGCCACCCAGGCAAGCAUCAAUUUUGUUCUGAUACGACGUUUGGUGACAUUACGUUGCAGAAAACGAUAGGCCUACGCUUCAAUCUGCCAGUUUUUGUUAAAACGCGUAACAGGUCUGAAUUCCCGCCGAGAGCUGAGGCGGACGCUAUGUUCUACAACGAGAUAUUUUUCUACACGAAGAUCGUUCCUGUUCUCCGAAGAUACGACGAAUUCAACAUCCUAUCCACAAGCUUUCCUGAGUUUGUGUGCGGGAAAAAGACCAGCGGUCAAAAUCCUGAAGAUGACGUCAUCGUCUUGAAAGAUCUCCGACAGAGAGGUUUUCGGCCAUGCGCGCAACGGCAUUUCGAUGAAAAUCAUCUUUCGUUAGCGUUAGAUCGAUUGGGAAAAUUCCAUGGGCUAUCUUUGGUGUGGCAGAUGGACGAUGCGACUUUAUUUAAAGAAGUAACAGCUCGGAUAAAAUUUUCAGCGACGCGAAAUUGUGGGCCGCUUUGGGAGGAAUUCAAUCCAAGGAGUACGUUUUAUUUCAAUAACGAUGCGUGA